AAGGGGCCCGGCGGCGGGGGAGGGGGCUGCUGCCCGGGACGGAUGGAGGGAGGGGGCUGUCGGCGAUUCGGUGCCGGCCCUCUGGAGGCAGCCGAUGCGUCCUGUAAGGCGUUGCUGCUCUUGGUUUGCUUUUCCAGGUUUGCUUUUCCCUGUCCUGAGCCGCAGGGAGGGGGCAGAUGGUCGCGGUCCCGAGGCCUGCGGGUAUUGGCGGUGCCGUUUGCUGGUUAAUCCUAAGGGAUUAAUACCGCCUGUUUCAUAGCAGUUCCUGCUAUGUAUUUAACACGCACACACAAAACUGACAGAAUAGUAUUAACCUGUAGGUCAUUUUUAGUUUCCACAAGAGGUUUGAGUAAUCACUUAUGGCAUCAUUUUUCUCCUGGCAAAACCCUUGCUCCUUUCAGAUAACCUUAAGAUCUACAGGCAUCCCCACAACUGGAAUUUGAGUCUAGAUGUCAUUGUGGCCAAGAGUUUUAAUAAGAGAUGUUUGCAAUCAUAAAAUGGAUUUUAACUGGUUUGUUAAUUGUCUUUUGUAGGUUUACCUGCCAGCAACUAUGGAAGCUGAAUGAAUUUAAGCACGAACACCAAUGUCUUGCAACAGUCAACCUGCAUCUCACCCAAGGAAAUUGCAGUGUCCCAGUUGCAUGCUGCUGUGCCUGAAGGUUUUGAAGCCAAGGUAGCAGGCCUGGUGGAGCUGUACAGGUGCAAGCUCUGCCCACUUACAAGUAGCAUCAAAGGUGGGGUCAGCACACACCUGGCUCAUAUGCAUGAAACAGAUAUGGUGUGUCAAAUUUCAGGCUGUCCUAAAAUGGACCAAGGUGAAAAUGAGUUGUAUAGCAUGGGAGAUGAAGUUAACCAAGAAAAUAAAGAAAACGAAGAAAAGCUUGCAAAAAAAGUCUAAUGACCCCUAUGUCAGAUGUUUCAAUCUUUAUGCCUCUCUCUCCUGUGAAGCAAACACCUUGUUUGGAGGAGCAGCAGCUCACUGGCAGCGUGUGUAGCACUGUUCUGCAGCGCUGAGUUGCUUUCAUAUCCCAAGGGCAAAGAUGAGGAAGAAGCCCAGCCUCUGCAUCUUGGCCUCUCUUGUGUUUCCAGUGUUAGAACUCGGACCUCAGCUGGGGAGGUAAAAACCCCUAAAGCUGAAUCAAGGUGUAAAAGUUACAAAAAAUCAGAAGAAAGCUGCAUGUGACACUAAAGGGUUAGCUCAUCCUGUGAAAGAUGCUUGUGCCUUAAAGCUACAGUUCUGAGGGAACGCAGCAUUUAUGCAACAUGUGCAACUUAGCACUGAGUUGAAAGAUGCUCAUUAAAUCCAUGAAAAGGGUCAUGUUGUGGUUCGUGGCUUUACAUGUGUUUAUUGUUGCAUGACUGAGUGGGACUUUAUGGAGGAUUGUUUAAAAACCAUGCAAGCAGAUAAAAGAAACCUACCAGUGCCUCACCUGUGAAAGUGUUUUUAUGUCACAGAGUGCUUGGAAAGUGCACUGUUUCUACAGCCAUCAGAGGAAACUUCAUCUCUUUCAGUGCACAAUGUAUUCAUCUCUUGAAACCAAGUGGAUAAGAAAUCUUUAUGCAGCUUGCCAUUAUCAGGAUAUGUUUAAAUGUCCACGCAGUAAUUUUACCAAUUUCUGAGGUGGAGAAGGAACAUUGAAGAAAUUGAGAGAAGUCUUCAGCCUGCUGGUAUUUUUCAGAGGUUUCAUUCCAUUAAAGGGAGUUUUACUGUAACAUUACAAACAACUGUUUUCUGCCAAUUUAUUAUGCUAGUGAGCCUGAUACAAUGGCUCAGGAAUGGAUCAAGGACUACAAACAUCUGCGCAACCAUAGUUACAGUUUCAAACUGUAUCUGUGUACUGAAUGUGAGAGAUGAGACUUUUUUUUCAAAUGUCCUGUGAUAUCUAGACCUUUUAGGGUCACUGGCUUCAGCUCCAUCAUGAUGUCUUAACAUAUACUGUGUUGGCGGUGACAUAUUGACCACCAAACCACGCUGAAGCAUGGAGGUGGUGUACACUGAAUGGAGGGUCAGAGCAGAGUUGAAAGAGCAUAUGGAAAAUGACAAAACUUUUACAGCCCUUCUGUCUUCAUUUUGGGAUCAGGUACUCAAAAACCAGACAUCAGAUGAAUGGACAUCACAAACCGAUCCAUCAGAAAAAAACCCAAAUGGAAAAUGAAUGAAAGAGAAGAAAGAAGGCUGAAGAUAAUGCUGUGUGCUUCAACACAAAAGCAACUAGAAAGAAGGACUCAAGUUAAUUUGCAGGUAGUACCUAUGCCUCUUUGAAGGGAAGACUAAUGAAAUGAGCAAUUAGCCAUACUACCAGCCUGGGCUGUCUCUUACCUUUUUCCACGAACGGCCCUGAACCCAUGGCAGGACAGGACCUGUUGCAAAUGGCAGCCAGUGCGGUGCUGUGUCCUGUCGCUGAGGGUGAAGAGCUGAUGGCAGAAUGGCAUCAGGAUAAUGCUGCUGUGCUGACUGCAACUCUGAGUGCACAGUCUGUGCUGCCACGCAGGGCUCCAAAGCUCCAAGAGUGCUAAAAAGAUGCUACAUCCUUCAUAUUUGCUUUCCAUUUCCUGGUGGGUGAGAAGCCUUUCAGAUGUGAGAUCUGCUCUUACGCCUUCAUUGAUGCAGACUCUCUGCAGCAGCACGUCCGAACAUGUGCUAGUGAGAGGCCCUACAAAUGUUGACUCUCUUCAUAUAGGUGCAUUCAGAAGAAGAGCUUGGACCUUCACAUACGCCGACAUCACACUGGUGAGGCAUUGGCUGUAGUUUUGCUGCUGUUCUUCCCCUGACAAACCACUUCUCUGAAAACACAUUAAGAAACAUCACCUGGGUUCAGGAACCUCAUUAACCAGUUCCCAGCCCACCUUUACCCUGAAAUCACUUCCUUUGGAACAGUAGGCUUUUCAGGCUUAAAGUUCCGCCAGAGCAUCCUGGCAAAUACAGAAGCUGUGGCAUUGUCAGACUUUUGUACCGAAAGCCAGGGGUUGUCUGGAAGAAGAGAAGAAACAGUCCUUAUGUGGCAAUUAGAAGCACUUAGGAUGGUCUUCCCCGAAAGCUUUGCAUGCGUUAUUGUACAGGUGGUAACGCCAGUGUGCUGAGAGGAGCGUGGAGAUUGGUGUUGCACAAAGGGUGGGCAUGUUUAUUUUUGUUCUGAUUACCUCUUGCUGAUAUAUUCCACUUACAAAUGAAAAGUUUGACAUUUCAGGGCACAAUCUGUUGAAAUGUACCAAAGCUGCCAGUGAACCCCACAGGUGCUUUCUGUGAUAUAUCUCCCAUUUUUAACACAGGUCUCUAUAUAAAAUGGUAAAUGAUUCAAGAAAAUCUACUGAUGGCAUAGCACUCAUAAUAUGGUAAAAAAAAUUUCAUUAAAUUUCUUCAUGGUUAUUUUUAUAACAGAAUGUGUCUAUUAUCAUAAACUAAUCCAAUGUUGAAGUAAAAAUAUAAACUAUUGAAAUAUGACAUCAAAUAAACAUGACUUGCAAAUUCA